GCGUGGACAUAAUAAAUUCUUUUUUUUUUUGGUUGAGCAAAAACAACUCCAGUGUGCUCCUAGUGAACUUGAAAGUGUGUGCAACAUUGCAACAUUUGGUGGCAUUCGGAUAUUCCUUCUGACUCCAUCUGUCUUCCCCCCCGUCACAAGUGUCAAAAGUGUGAAAGUGCAAGCAUUUUUUCCUGUUCAUCCGCAACAAAAAUACAAACCAAAAGAAAGCAAGAAACAAAAAAGAAACAUACGCGAAAGGAUUCUCGCAAGCUACGACAAACAACUCAAAGUCUGAGAAGAAAAGAAAGCAAAUCAAUUCUAUAAUCUUAAACAACCAAUUACAACACAGAACAAACUCUAAUUCAAUUGAUUGUGCAAUAAAUUAUACAUAAAAGUUGACGCGAUUUGAGCUGUAAUACUGCAACACUUGAAGAUUCUACAACGAAAGCAAAGUUUAAGCAGACAACAACAGAAGAUGCAAAUUGCAGCGAAGAGCAGCCGAGAUUGCAGUGGGAGCAACAAGAGGAAAACAAGCAGAUCAGCAGGAGGAGCAGGCGGAGC